UACGUAGGGGGCAAGCGUUGUCCGGAUUUAUUGGGCGUAAAGAGCGUGUAGGCGGCUAGGUAGGUCCGUUGUGAAAACUCGAGGCUCAACCUCGAGACGUCGAUGGAAACCAUCUAGCUAGAGUCCGGAAGAGGAGAGUGGAAUUCCUGGUGUAGCGGUGAAAUGCGCAGAUAUCAGGAAGAACACCGGUGGCGAAGGCGGGUCUCUGGGCAGUAACUGACGCUGAGGAGCGAAAGCGUGGGGAGCGAACAGG
rnacentral:rRNA from 1 species